rnacentral:rRNA from 9 species
UGGCGGCCUUAGCGCGGUGGUCCCACCUGACCCCAUGCCGAACUCAGAAGUGAAACGCCGUAGCGCCGAUGGUAGUGUGGGGUCUCCCCAUGCG